GAUGAACGAUGGCGGCGUGCCUAAUACAUGCAAGUCGAGCGAACAGACGAGGAGCUUGCUCCUCUGAAGUUAGCGGCGGACGGGUGAGUAACACGUGGAUAACCUACCUAUAAGACUGGGAUAACUUCGGGAAACCGGAGCUAAUACCGGAUAAUAUAUUGAACCGCAUGGUUCAAUAGUGAAAGACGGUUUUGCUGUCACUUAUAGAUGGAUCCGCGCCGCAUUAGCUAGUUGGUAAGGUAACGGCUUACCAAGGCAACGAUGCGUAGCCGACCUGAGAGGGUGAUCGGCCACACUGGAACUGAGACACGGUCCAGACUCCUACGGGAGGCAGCAGUAGGGAAUCUUCCGCAAUGGGCGAAAGCUUGACGGAGCAACGCCGCGUGAGUGAUGAAGGUCUUCGGAUCGUAAAACUCUGUUAUUAGGGAAGAACAAAUGUGUAAGUAACUAUGCACGUCUUGACGGUACCUAAUCAGAAAGCCACGGCUAACUACGUG
rnacentral:rRNA from 1 species